GAAAGCUGGCGGCGUUCUUAACACAUGCAAGUCGAACGGAAAGGCCCAAGCUUGCUUGGGUACUCGAGUGGCGAACGGGUGAGUAACACGUGGGUGAUCUGCCCUGCACUUCGGGAUAAGCCUGGGAAACUGGGUCUAAUACCGGAUAGGACCACUUCUUGGAUGUUGUGGUGGAAAGUUUUUUCGGUGUGGGAUGAGCUCGCGGCCUAUCAGCUUGUUGGUGGGGUAAUGGCCUACCAAGGCGUCGACGGGUAGCCGGCCUGAGAGGGUGUACGGCCACAUUGGGACUGAGAUACGGCCCAGACUCCUACGGGAGGCAGCAGUGGGGAAUAUUGCACAAUGGGCGCAAGCCUGAUGCAGCGACGCCGCGUGGGGGAUGACGGCCUUCGGGUUGUAAACUCCUUUCGCUAGGGACGAAGCGUUUUGUGACGGUACCUGGAGAAGAAGCACCGGCUAACUACGUG
rnacentral:rRNA from 1 species